CGAUGUGUAUAUGGCCAGCCCAAGGUCAUAACCUGGGGGAAGUACAGCUGAGAUCUGAACCCCAAGGGUACUCUCUCUCUGACUGCUCUCUGUUGCCCUGGAGGUGACUCAUUUCAGAUGGGUGAUCUGUAAAAGGGGGCAGCCUUUGGCUCCCAGACCAGUGCAGCCGGCAGGGUCUCGCCGGCCAUCCAAAUUCCAAGAGAAACCAAAACAUCUGAGUUUCACACACAAUCUUCUCUGUUUAACGUUGGCAGCUAUUUCAGAUUGACUUCUCACACUGUUGCUGGUGUAGUCGGGAGUUGGUCAGUUCUACAGCCCCCAGGGGUCCUGGUGCCCGUGAGCAGGGUGGAGACACCGGGCCUGCAGCGCAGCGGGGCGGCGUGCGGAACAUGACUUCAUCAUCCAGUGUUUCUCCCGCAGCCGCUGGA
rnacentral:lncRNA from 1 species